AUUGAACGCUGGCGGCAUGCUUAACACAUGCAAGUUGAACGAGUGGCGGACGGGUGAUUAAUGCUUGGGAAUCUGGCUUAUGGCGGGGGAUAACGACUGGAAACUGUCGCUAAUACUGCGUACCAUAGGAUGAGCCCAAGUGGGAUUAGGUAGCUGGUGUGGUAAUGGCUUACCAAGCCGACGAUCUCUAGCUGGUCUGAGAGGAUGACCAGCAACAGUGGGACUAAGACACGGACCGGGCUCCUACGGGAGGCAGAAGUGGGGAAUAUUGCGCAGUAGGGGGGAGCUGAAGCAGCCAAGCCGCGUGAAUGAAGAAGGCCUUCGGGUUGUGAAGUUCUAUCGGUAACGAGGAGUUAAUCACAGAAGAAGCACCGGCUAACUCCGUGCCAGGAGCCGCGGUAAUUG
rnacentral:rRNA from 1 species